rnacentral:rRNA from 1 species
UACGUAGGCAGCAAGCGUUGUUCGGAAUCACUGGGCGUAAAGGGCGCGUAGGCGGUUGGAUAAGUCUUGUGUGAAAUCUUCGGGCUCAACUCGAAGUCUGCACGAGAAACUAUCUGGCUUGAGUGUGGGAGAGGUGAGUGGAAUUCCUGGUGUAGCGGUGAAAUGCGUAGAUAUCAGGAGGAACACCUGUGGCGAAAGCGGCUCACUGGACCACAACUGACGCUGAGGCGCGAAAGCUAGGGGAGCAAACAGG